UACGUAGGGGGCAAGCGUUGUCCGGAUUUAUUGGGCGUAAAGAGCGUGUAGGCGGCCAGACAGGUCCGUUGUGAAAACUCGAGGCUCAACCUCGAGAUGUCGAUGGAAACCGUCUGGCUAGAGUCCGGAAGAGGAGUGUGGAAUUCCUGGUGUAGCGGUGAAAUGCGCAGAUAUCAGGAAGAACACCUAUGGCGAAGGCAGCACUCUGGGACGGUACUGACGCUGAGAGCGAAAAGCGUU
rnacentral:rRNA from 1 species